CUCGUUUAAGUAUAAGAGGUCCAGCCUGCCCAGUGAUAAUUUAUUCAACGGCCGCGUAAUUUAAAGCGCGCAAAGGUAGCGUAAUCACUUGUUCUUUAAAUAAGGACUAGAAUCAACGGCAUCACGAGGGCUAUACUGUCUCCUUCCCCCAAUCAGUGAAACUAAUCUCCCUGUGAAAAAGCAGGGAUACUCUUAUAAGACGAGAAGACCCCAUGGAGCUUUAAACACAACAACAUCUUAAAAUCUUUUAUAUUUACCUUAUUAACCUGAAAGCAUUGUGUGUUAGUUUUAGGUUGGGGCGACCGCGGAGAAUAAUAAAACCUCCAUAACGAAAGGGAAUAAGCCCUUACUUAAGAAAAACAUUUCUACAAAUUAUUAAUAUAACGUUUAAUGACCCGAUUAUCGAUUAACGAACCA
rnacentral:rRNA from 1 species